GACGAACGCUGGCGGCGUGCUUAACACAUGCAAGUCGAACGGAAAGGCCCUGCUUUUGUGGGGUGCUCGAGUGGCGAACGGGUGAGUAACACGUGAGUAACCUGCCCUUGACUUUGGGAUAACUUCAGGAAACUGGGGCUAAUACCGGAUAGGAGCUCCUGCUGCUUGGUGGGGGUUGGAAAGUUUCGGCGGUUGGGGUUGGACUCGCGGCUUAUCAGCUUGUUGGUGGGGUAGUGGCUUACCAAGGCUUUGACGGGUAGCCGGCCUGAGAGGGUGACAGGCCACAUUGGGACUGAGAUGCGGCCCAGACUCGUAUGGGAGGCAGCAGUGGGGAAUAGUGCACGAUGGGAGGAAGCCUGAUGCAGUCACGCAGCGUGCGGGAUGACGGCCUUCGGGUUGUAAAGCAAUGUCGCCUGUGACGAAGCGUGAGUGACGGUAAUGGGUAAAGAAGCACCGGCUAACUACGUG
rnacentral:rRNA from 1 species